GGUAUUUCGAAUUACAUUUCAGAGCAGUGUUUUGAAACAACUACGCUUCGGGAUCUCGACACAGUUUCGAAACGUAAGUUUCGCGGCUGCCAUCCCUACAUGUCAUGUGUGUAUUCAUCAACACAUAUAUCAGUACUAGCUGAACUUCACCUCUAAAAUGAAAGAAACUGAGUGAGAGAUCAGGAUCACUUGUAUUCAGCUCUGUGUCUAUGAAGAGUGACAACUCCAAAGAUGAUGCACCAAAGUCUCAUAGAGAAUAAGUCUAGGAACCACAUGCUCAUUUUCUCGUAUUUGAGGUGCAACAGAGGUUCACAAAGGACAUGAAUUAUUUACCUUAUCGUCAAAGUUUGACUCCGUAAGCCGGUGUUUCACGUGUGGUGCCAGCCAGGACAAAAAUACAUAGAACGCCGGGACUUUUUUUCCCUUCUGGAUCCCCGCUCCUUGUGGCAAGUUUUUUACGGAGGCGAGACGUACUUAUCUCGAGUGCUCUUCCAUCUCUUCAUACAAUCCACCAUAUCCAAACUGACGUUAGAGGAAAUUUCUCCCCACGAAUUCACUGCCAUCUGGCAAUCUUUGUAAUCUGGUGAAGACGAGUCAUACAGACAGCUGUAUUUUCUCACUUCUUCAAUCAGUCUCUCGGUAGCUUGAUCCAUUUCCAUGUUUAUCACUAAACUUCGCUGCUGCAUUUAAAAAUGGCGGGCUGCGAAGAACACGCUGGAAAUGCAUAGGAGGAAACAGAAUGCAUUCACGCCGACCAAUCACAGAUCUUGCGGUCCGCGUCAUUUCGACGUGUAGUUACAUUUUUGAGGAGUUGCACGUCAGGUACUGCAAAGGGUAUGGCGACAGGGGUCGCGUCUAUGCGUAUGUUACGGUGUACCUAUAACGUGCCCCUGACGCAAAAGUAUAAAUUGGCCUUUACACAUACACUGUUGUCUUGUUAUAAUGUCUGCUCCAAAGAUAUUUUUCUGUUUUUUGCAUAAUUAGUGAGAGACCAGGAUCAGCUGUAUUCAGCUCUGUGUCUAUAAAGAGUGACCGUUCCAAAGGUGAUGGACCAAACUUCAGUGAGAAAACACCUACAAAUACUAAAAGCUCUGUGUCUAUGAAGAGUGACAUCUCCAAAGAUGUUGGACCACACUUCUGUGAGGAAACAUCAACAGCUACUAAAAGUAACCAAAGACCAGUGACCUCAGUAAAUAUUGGUUCAGAAAUUAACCGAUGGAAAGCACUAAAAGAACAGAGAGGAAUAAAGAGUGAUGAGGAACUGGCAACUUUUCUGAUCAACAGACUUCAGUAUGAGACAUCAGAGGCAGACAUUCAGAAUUGUGAAGACGAUCUUCCUCGAAUCUUU